rnacentral:rRNA from 1 species
GACGAACGCUGGCGGCGUGCUUAACACAUGCAAGUCGAACGGAAAGGCCUCUUUCUUGGUUUACUCGUGUUGCGAACGGGUGAGUAACACGUGCGUAACCUGCCCUUGACUUUGGGUUAACUUCAUUCAACUGGGGCUAAUACCGGAUAGGAGCUCCUGCUGCAUGGUGGGUGUUGGAAAGUUUCGGCGGUUAGGGAUGGACUGUCGGCUUAUCCGCUUGUUUGUGGGGUAUUGGCUUACCAAGGCUUUGCCGGGUAGCCGGACAGAGAGGGUGAGAGGCGACAUAGGGACUGAGAGAAGGCACAGACUGGGACGGGAGGGAGAAGGGGGGAAGAUUGCAGAAUGGGUGGAAGGCGGAUGCAGCAACGCCGUGGGCGGGAUGACGGGCUUAGGGUUGUAAAACGCAUGCGCUAAUGACGAAGCUUAGUGUGACGGUAGUGGGUAAAGAAGCAACGGCUAACUACGUA